UAUACAAGGUGCUGCAUGGUUGUCGUCAGCUCGUGCCGUGAGGUGUCGGGUUAAGUCCCCAUAACGAGCGCAACCCCUAUCAUUAGUUGCCAUCAGGUCAAGCUGGGGACUCUAAUGAAACUGCCUACGCAAGUAGUGAGGAAGGUGGGGAUGACGUCAAAUCAGCACGGCCCUUACGUCCAGGGCUACACACGUGCUACAAUGGCCGGUACAAAGGGCAGCUACCUGGUGACAGGAUGCUAAUCUCAAAAGCCGGUCUCAGUUCGGAUCGGAGUCUGCAACCCGACUCUGUGAAGCUGGAAUCGCUAGUAAUCGCGCAUCAGCCAUGGCGCGGUGAAUACGUUCCCGGGCCUU
rnacentral:rRNA from 1 species